rnacentral:rRNA from 1 species
UACGUAGGUGGCAAGCGUUGUCCGGAAUUAUUGGGCGUAAAGCGCGCGCAGGCGGGAACACAAGUCUGAUUUAAAAGUGCGGGGCUCAACCCCGUGAUGGGUUAGAAACUGUGUUUCUUGAGUGCAGGAGAGGAAAGUGGAAUUCCCAGUGUAGCGGUGAAAUGCGUAGAGAUUGGGAGGAACACCAGUGGCGAAGGCGACUUUCUGGACUGUGUCUGACGCUGAGGCGCGAAAGCCAGGGGAGUGAACG